GAUUAAGUUAUUAAGGGCGCACGGUGGAUGCCUUGGCACUAGAAGCCGAUGAAGGACGUUACUAACGACGAUAUGCUUUGGGGAGCUGUAAGUAAGCUUUGAUCCAGAGAUUUCCGAAUGGGGAAACCCAGCAUGAGUUAUGUCAUGUUAUCGAUAUGUGAAUACAUAGCAUAUCAGAAGGCACACCCGGAGAACUGAAACAUCUUAGUACCCGGAGGAAGAGAAAGAAAAUUCGAUUCCCUUAGUAGCGGCGAGCGAAACGGGAAGAGCCCAAACCAACAAGCUUGCUUGUUGGGGUUGUAGGACACUCUAUACGGAGUUACAAAGGACGACAUUAGACGAAUCAUCUGGAAAGAUGAAUCAAAGAAGGUAAUAAUCCUGUAGUCGAAAAUGUUGUCUCUCUUGAGUGGAUCCUGAGUACGACGGAACACGUGAAAUUCCGUCGGAAUCUGGGAGGACCAUCUCCUAAGGCUAAAUACUCCCUGGUGACCGAUAGUGAAGCAGUACCGUGAGGGAAAGGUGAAAAGCACCCCGGAAGGGGAGUGAAAGAGAACCUGAAACCGUGUGCUUACAAGAAGUCAGAGCCCGUCAAUGGGUGAUGGCGUGCCUUUUGUAGAAUGAACCGGCGAGUUACGUUUGCGUGCAAGGUUAAGGUGAAAAGCCGCAGCCGAAGCGAAAGCGAGUCUGAAUAGGGCGUUUAGUACGUGGUCGUAGACCCGAAACCAGGUGAUCUACCCAUGUCCAGGGUGAAGUUCAGGUAACACUGAAUGGAGGCCCGAACCCACGCACGUUGAAAAGUGCGGGGAUGAGGUGUGGGUAGCGGAGAAAUUCCAAUCGAACCUGGAGAUAGCUGGUUCUCUCCGAAAUAGCUUUAGGGCUAGCCUCAAGUGAUGAUUAUUGGAGGUAGAGCACUGUUUGGACGAGGGGCCCCUCUCGGGUUACCGAAUUCAGACAAACUCCGAAUGCCAAUUAAUUUAACUUGGGAGUCAGAACAUGGGUGAUAAGGUCCGUGUUCGAAAGGGAAACAGCCCAGACCACCAGCUAAGGUCCCAAAAUAUAUGUUAAGUGGAAAAGGAUGUGGCGUUGCCCAGACAACUAGGAUGUUGGCUUAGAAGCAGCCAUCAUUUAAAGAGUGCGUAAUAGCUCACUAGUCGAGUGACACUGCGCCGAAAAUGUACCGGGGCUAAACAUAUUACCGAAGCUGUGGAUUGUCCUUUGGACAAUGGUAGGAGAGCGUUCUAAGGGCGUUGAAGCAUGAUCGUAAGGACAUGUGGAGCGCUUAGAAGUGAGAAUGCCGGUGUGAGUAGCGAAAGACGGGUGAGAAUCCCGUCCACCGAUUGACUAAGGUUUCCAGAGGAAGGCUCGUCCGCUCUGGGUUAGUCGGGUCCUAAGCUGAGGCCGACAGGCGUAGGCGAUGGAUAACAGGUUGAUAUUCCUGUACCACCUAUAAUCGUUUUAAUCGAUGGGGGGACGCAGUAGGAUAGGCGAAGCGUGCGAUUGGAUUGCACGUCUAAGCAGUAAGGCUGAGUAUUAGGCAAAUCCGGUACUCGUUAAGGCUGAGCUGUGAUGGGGAGAAGACAUUGAGUCUUCGAGUCGUUGAUUUCACACUGCCGAGAAAAGCCUCUAGAUAGAAAAUAGGUGCCCGUACCGCAAACCGACACAGCCUGCCCGGUGCUGGAAGGUUAAGAGGAGUGGUUAGCUUAUGCGAAGCUACGAAUCGAAGCCCCAGUAAACGGCGGCCGUAACUAUAACGGUCCUAAGGUAGCGAAAUUCCUUGUCGGGUAAGUUCCGACCCGCACGAAAGGCGUAACGAUUUGGGCACUGUCUCAACGAGAGACUCGGUGAAAUCAUAGUACCGGUGAAGAUGCAGGGUACCCGCGACAGGACGGAAAGACCCCAUGGAGCUUUACUGUAGCUUGACAUUGAAUUUUGGUGCUACAUGUACAGGAUAGGUAGGAGCCUUUGAAACGUGAGCGCUAGCUUACGUGGAGGCGCUGGUGGGAUACUACCCUAGCUGUGUUGGCUUUCUAACCCGCACCACUUAUCGUGGUGGGAGACAGUGUCAGGCGGGCAGUUUGACUGGGGCGGUCGCCUCCUAAAAGGUAACGGAGGCGCUCAAAGGUUCCCUCAGAAUGGUUGGAAAUCAUUCAUAGAGUGUAAAGGCAUAAGGGAGCUUGACUGCGAGACCUACAAGUCGAGCAGGGUCGAAAGACGGACUUAGUGAUCCGGUGGUUCCGCAUGGAAGGGCCAUCGCUCAACGGAUAAAAGCUACCCCGGGGAUAACAGGCUUAUCUCCCCCAAGAGUCCACAUCGACGGGGAGGUUUGGCACCUCGAUGUCGGCUCAUCGCAUCCUGGGGCUGUAGUCGGUCCCAAGGGUUGGGCUGUUCGCCCAUUAAAGCGGUACGCGAGCUGGGUUCAGAACGUCGUGAGACAGUUCGGUCCCUAUCCGUCGUGGGCGUAGGAAAUUUGAGAGGAGCUGUCCUUAGUACGAGAGGACCGGGAUGGACGCACCGCUGGUGUACCAGUUGUUCUGCCAAGGGCAUAGCUGGGUAGCUAUGUGCGGAAGGGAUAAGUGCUGAAAGCAUCUAAGCAUGAAGCCCCCCUCAAGAUGAGAUUUCCCAGCGUAAGCUAUAAGAUCCCUGAAAGAUGAUCAGGUUGAUAGGUUCGAGGUGGAAGCAUGGUGACAUGUGGAGCUGACGAAUACUAAUCGAUCGAAGACUUAAUCAA
rnacentral:rRNA from 1 species